CGAACGGGUGAGUAAUACAUCGGAACGUGUCCGCUCGUGGGGGGACAACCAGCCGAAAGGUUGGCUAAUACCGCAUGAGUUCUACGGAAGAAAGAGGGGGACCCGCAAGGGCCUCUCGCGAGCGGAGCGGCCGAUGACUGAUUAGCCUGUUGGUGAGGUAAAGGCUCACCAAAGCAACGAUCAGUAGCUGGUCUGAGAGGACGACCAGCCACACUGGGACUGAGACACGGCCCAGACUCCUACGGGAGGCAGCAG
rnacentral:rRNA from 1 species